ACACGAGCUGCCCGAUUUCUGUGUCACGGAUGACAUUUUCACAUGGAUACCUCAUCUUGUAUGCUAUGUAUAGUUAUGGCCAUGACUAAUUAUAUAAACAAUAAAUAACAUGCAUUCCAUUUCUUUGUGGUACUGGUUAUGGCCAUUUUGUAUUUUGUUCUGUGUUUUUUUUCCACUCUAUCUCUGAAAUAUUUUUUUUUAACUGAACAACAAAAUGGAUAUGAUCAAAGGACCAGAGGUGUGGCCGUAUUAACCAGUUAGAAUUGGGUUAACAGAAGAGAACUGAUCACUUCAGCCAAUCAACUUGAAGCUUUAAUAUUACCUCAAUAAUAGAUUUCUGUUGUAAAAAAUAUGAAGUUUUAUUCAUUUAGAUGGUUUUGUAUUUAAUAUGGUGCAUGUUUGGAAUGGAGAAGUAUUGGUGCAUAUAAUGGACUUGUAUAGUAGAGUAUGAACAGAGUGAAAGGUAGGCUUGAAUCAAGUCAUGGAAUUUUACUUUGUUUUUCUUUUUUUCUGUUUUGUUUGUUUAUUUUGUAUCUAAGUAUUAAUAAAGAUUUUGAUUUGUUGCCAAGUAACACACAUGGUUGCAUUUUGUUUGAUCAGUAUCAGAACAUUUUCUAGAAACACAUUCAUUAUAAAAAAUCAAAACCCCAUUUGGCCACAGUACCUAUCUUUGUGAUGCCACAUGAUAAAACAUCUCUGGCCAAAUCAAUUUUUGAACAGUAUUUGUUUUUUUCUUUUGUUAUUUUUUGCAUAAUAAAUUAUUUUCUAGUAUUUUUUUCUGAUUGAUGUUGAGUUUUCUUUAAGUUUGCAUUAAUAUAUUGAACAAUGAUUUGUGAAUCAAUUUUAGUGGACAUCAUGGGUUUGUCAAAGUCAGUGAAAAGGGAAAAUCAGUUCUCUGAUGCAUGUUUACAGCAAAUUCUUGGUUUUGCAGAUUUUUUUUUUUUGAUUUUUUAUUUCAUUGUUUCAUUUACUGCUGACUACCCACAAUCCCAUGGCUUAUGUUGCCAGGGAUACGACAAUCACAUGAUACAGCAACAAAAUAGGAUUGGCCAAUGAGUGUGCUCUGUUAUCUGUGUGGGAGUGUGUGAUUGUGAUGAAAGUUUGCUAAAGCUUGAAUGCUUAGUUCUAGGGAAUUUUUUAAUGAGAUUGUCACGUAUUUGAGAAAAAAUUCCAGAAGAAAAAAAUAAAAUGUUGUACUAUGCU
rnacentral:misc_RNA from 1 species